rnacentral:rRNA from 1 species
GACGAACGCUGGCGGCGUGCUUAACACAUGCAAGUCGAGCGGUAAGGCCCUUUCGGGGGUACACGAGCGGCGAACGGGUGAGUAACACGUGGGUGACCUGCCUUUAGCUCUGGGAUAAGCCUGGGAAACUGGGUCUAAUACCGGAUAUGACCUCAUGAUGCAUGUUGUGGGGUGGAAAGCCUUGUGCGGCUGGAGGUGGGCCCGCGGCCUAUCAGCUUGUUGGUGGGGUGAUGGCCUACCAAGGCGA